rnacentral:rRNA from 1 species
GACGAACCGUGCGAACGUUGUUCGGAUUCACUGGGCUUAAAGGGCGCGUAGGCGGCUUGCCAAGUCAGGGGUGAAAUCUUUCGGCUCAACCGGAAAACAGCCCCUGAUACUGGUGAGCUGGAGGGAGGUAGGGGCGGAUGGAACUUCCGGUGGAGCGGUGAAAUGCGCAGAUAUCAGGAGGAACACCGGUGGCGAAGGCGGGUCUCUGGGCCGAAACUGACGCUGAGACGCGAAAGCGUGGGGAGCAAACAGG